UCUAUGACUUGGUUCUGCACUAGUUUCCACUGCAUUCUGGUAUGUUGUUCUUCCAUUUGUGAUGUCAAGACACAAGGAUCCAGUUCUAAACAAUGUUCUUAUACAAUGGAAAUGUUCUGAAACUUCUUUGUGGCUGUGCGUUAUAGUUUCAUGAUGAAAUCCACGUGUAUUCUUAGUUUGUUUGUUAGAGAUCAGCCAGAGCCUGAUGGUUUAACUGAAGAUUUAGAGAGGAUUGUGGGCUUUCCUGUGACACGAAGUGAUGGGCUCUCAAGUUUGGGAAAUUCGGGUCUGCUUGCUUCAAUUGCGAACAACUAAAUUAAAAGUGAAAAGCAACUUGCUCUGAAUUAAGUCAGUGGCCGAAGAGGAAUGGGAGAGCAGUCUCGCUGUUUCCAAUAAAUUCAAGCAAAAGCAAAUCA